rnacentral:lncRNA from 1 species
AAGCUAAGCGGCGCUGGUGAAGCGGCUCAUCAGGUCUAUCAGGAAACCUGAGAAUUGGAGUGAGAAUCCCAGUGUGGAAAAUCAGGAAAGAGGCUGGUAUGAGCGACAGAGAAGUCAUUCAGGAAAGAGGUUAUUGAAUUCAUUGGAGAAUGAAUGCUGUUCUGAAUUUGAGCCCACCAGAAGUAUGUCAGACAAGCCUGGCAGAAGGCAAACAUCAAUACAAAAUGGGCAGCCACACGAUGGGCCAAGAAGAUUGAAGCCAGAGAAAGGAAAGCCAAGAUGACAGAUUUUGAUCAUUUUAAAGUUAUGAAGGCAAUGAGGAACAGAAUAAUCAAGAAUGAAGUUAAGAAGCUUCAAAAGGCAGCUCUCCAAAAGCUUCUCCCAAAAAAGCACCUGCUGCGAAGCGUGCUACUGCUGCUGCAGCUGCUGCUAAAGUUCUAGCAAAAAGAUGACCGCUGCAGGCAAGAAGGCUCCAGCUUAGAAGCUUCCUGCCCAGAAAGCCACAGGCCAGAAGGCAGCGCCUCCUCCAAAAGCUCAGAAGGGUCAAAAAGCUCCAGCCCAGAAAGCACCUGCUCCAAAAGCGUUUGGCAAGAAAGAGGUGAUUAGAAAAGUAAUAAAAGUUCUAUUUGGGAAAAAAAAAAAAAAAAGAAAGAAAGAAAAGGAGGCACCCAAGAUUGCAAGCAAGGCUCUAAAAUGCUAGGCUGCUCAUGGAUUUUUAAAAUUGCAUUAUACAAACAUGAUCUUUACAGUUUUCUGUUUCCCUGGUAACCAUUUAUGAUAAAAAUAAUCAACUUGUUAGAGUUCCUCUGUCAGCUUUUGUCAGGAUCUGGGAUGUUACCCUACAGUUGACCCUUGAAUAAUGUGGGGCUUAGGAGGUGCCAAUACCCUGUGUAAUGGAAAAUCCAUGUAUAACUUUUGACUCCCCCAAAGUAUAAUUGCUAAUAACCUAUGUUGACUGGAAGCACUACCAAUAACAUAAACAGUCAAUUAACACAUAUUUUGUAUAUAUGUUGUAUUCUUACAAUAAAGUAAGCUAGAGAAAAGAAAAUGUUAUUAAGAAAGUAAGAAGGAAGAGAAAAUAUAUUUACAUUACGUGGAA